UGCACAAGGCUGAUCAUCUCCUGCUCUCCUCGAAGGGGCUCCUCUCUGUUCUCCACAUGUGGCUGUGGCGUGUUGAAUGCAGAAGUUUCACAGGCAUGUA
rnacentral:lncRNA from 13 species